rnacentral:rRNA from 1 species
AUUGAACGCUGGCGGCAGGCCUAACACAUGCAAGUCGAACGGUAACAGGAAGCAGCUUGCUGCUUCGCUGACGAGUGGCGGACGGGUGAGUAAUGUCUGGGAAACUGCCUGAUGGAGGGGGAUAACUACUGGAAACGGUAGCUAAUACCGCAUAACGUCGCAAGACCAAAGAGGGGGACCUUCGGGCCUCUUGCCAUCGGAUGUGCCCAGAUGGGAUUAGCUAGUAGGUGGGGUAACGGCUCACCUAGGCGACGAUCCCUAGCUGGGCUGAGAGGAGGACCAGCCACACCGGAACUGAGACACGGUCCAGACUCCUACGGGAGGCAGCAGUGGGGAAUAUUGCACAAUGGGCGCAAGCCUGAUGCAGCCAUGCCGCGUGUAUGAAGAAGGCCUUCGGGUUGUAAAGUACUUUCAGCGGGGAGGAAGGGAGUAAAGUUAAUACCUUUGCUCAUUGACGUUACCCGCAGAAGAAGCACCGGCUAACUCCGUGCCAGCCGCCGCAGUAAUAC